UCUGUGCCAGAAUGGGGGACCUGAUGGCAAUCCCCAUGCACAGGCUACAUAAUUAGAUGGUGGGGAAUGUGGGGAGUGCAGUGAAAUCUAGGAAGUGCUCAAUGGAAACUGAAAGUAAUUGCCUGCCUCACCUCUCUGCCUAAUGCAUAGAGAAAGGGCAGGCAAUAUAUUAUUGACAGCUGAGAUUUUUAAACGAGUUUACAACAGUUAUGGAUGCUAUAAUAAAAAAAAUAAUUUGAAUUUCAUGUUUAAUUUGAAAAAGACUUAUAAUUAUACAGGUUUUUAUGUCUUGAUGAAAGGUCCACUUUAAUGGAGACCUGCCAAAAGUGAUUGCAGGCAUGGUUUUAACCAAGAAACCACACUUGAGAGUGCCAUACUACCAGCUUAUUCUGGUUGGAUAUACAGCAUAAGACUAGAUCAUUAAAGAAGAUAAUUCACUAUGUAGUAUCAAUGUAAAAUGUACUUGUUUAAUAGAAGCUUCUAAUGCCCACAUUAUUUUCUUGAAAUAGAAUCUAUGUACAGGUAUGUUGUAUUUUCGCAUUUAAAAGGUACUUUGACGAUAUGUUGACUUGCAAAAGGUAUAUUAUGUUUUGUUUCCUGACCGAGGAAGACAACUAUAUUUGAAUGCUUGAGAGGAAUUGUGUACAAAGGUUGUUGCUUGUAAUUUGCCAAUAGGGUUUAUUGUUUAAUUAGAGCAGACCAAUAUUUAAAUUUAUCAGGUAAAGAAAUAUAGGAUCUUUAACCCUUGUGAAUAUAUACAAAUAUAUACACAGAUGUCUAUGUACAGUAUUACCUGUUUACUGAACAGUUAUAAAAAAUUCAGAAUAAGCAAAUCCUGCAUAUAAAUAUGGUACAUUAAACAUUCUAGUUUAUAAUGUACAUAGUGAUGGCACAUUAAGGGGCAGAUUUAUCAAGGGUUGAACUGUAAAUUUGAAUUGGAAUUUUCGAGUGUCAAAAUUCAUACAUUCAAAUUUUAAUCCCCUAUUCGAAUGUGAAUUCUGCUAAUUCCAAUCCAGUUUUGUCAUUUUUUUGUCAAAAUUUGGAAAAUAUCUGAUACCAUAAGUAAACCAAAUAUAUCCAAUUUGAUCUUAGUAUGAAAAGAAGUUGUGUAUGUUGGGGGUCAUACUGUGCUGCCUUCAGCUAAGGAAGCAAUAAAUAAUAAACCCAGUGAAGGCAGACCAGUAGAAUGAAUACCCCACAGUUGAAGUAAGGAAUCCCCACCAUGAGUUGUUAACAAAACAAAAGAAUAGUCUUUGGAACACCAUACUGAUAAUGCAACUGCAUAGUUACACAAAUGAGCU